GGGAGGCGAUUGGCGCGCGCCAGGCCGGGGGCGGGCGGAGGCCGGGGCUGAGAGAGCGGAGCCAGCGCCACCCCCAUCGAGCUCGCCGCAGCCCGCCCCGGCCUCCUCCCGGCCGCGCCCCUCCCCCGCCGCCGCCGCGAACGCCUCUCUUUGUUGUCUAAUGCGGGACCGGCUGGCUCGGGACAUUUAUAUGUACCUAUCAGCCGAGGACAACCACUGUCCUCAAGUCUCUUUCCUCUCCAGGUUGAGAAGAAAAGGCGCCCAACUGUGAUGCCAGCCGCCAAGCUCCAAAGAGCGGUCCUUCUAAAGUCCCGUUACUGCCCCCAAAUAAAGCAUCCCUGGAGCCGACGCGACCACUAGGUGGACGGUAUACUGUACAAGAGGUCUGCAAAGCUGUUUUGCACACAUCUUGCAGACUGAAUACAUGGCAGGAGGAAUUCAAAUCUCCACGUGAAAGAAAGCUAGCUCACUUCAAUCCGUGUGCCUGAGCUCGAGUAAAGCAUUGGUACAAAAAUGAUUGAGAUGGUGAGGGAAAGGACUCUUCCCCGAGCCAUUGUUCAUAUGGAAACCAGUUACACAGAGGGGCUAAUGUGCAAAGGGUAAUCCACCCAGCGUCCUGGCAGGACCUCGCAGACGAGCGUUACAAAGCCAAUUGUCCUGCAAGACCACAAUGCCUGGUUCAGUGCGGAUGGAGAAGGUGGAGAAUGUGCUGCAGGCAGAGGAGAACUGUUCUAUGUCCCUCCUGAUGGUCCUGCACCACAGUACUGCAUUACAGUAGGAGGCGUGGGACAGACAUAUGUGGAUUUGGGGAAGCUUUACACAUCAGAAUCAGAACCGGGAAAAGGCUGAGGGAGCAUCCAGGACCACCAUCUCCAACCAUUUUUCUUUAAAUCUUAAAAGCUUGUGAUUUCUUUAAAAACUAAGUCAAAUGUCUUCAAGCAAGCUCACAGACUCCGUUGCUAUGCCAGAUGCACAGUACCUUCCAGGGG
rnacentral:lncRNA from 1 species